rnacentral:SRP_RNA from 1 species
GCCGCGCUCCGCCGAUGGGCGGACCCAGGCUUGGGGGCCCGAAACCGGGGCCGGGCGGCGCCUCCUGCGGCGUUCCGCCCAGGCUUACCGAGGAGCCCCGGUCCAGCGGGGCGCCAGUCCCCGGCUAGCUCGGCCGUAGGGCCGAGUCAAGCCGGGCAUGCGGGGAACCGGCGGAGGUCCGGGAGGGAGCACGCCUAACCCGCAGCUGGCGCGUUCGCUGGGGCGCCGGGGGGAGAGACGCCGAGGCGGGCGCCGCCCGGGGGCGUCGUCGGUCCCGGGU